UACGAAGGAUCCAAGCGUUGUCCGGAUUUACUGGGUUUAAAGGGUCCGUAGGCGGAUCUGUAAGUCAGUGGUGAAAUCUCACAGCUUAACUGUGAAACUGCCAUUGAUACUGCAGGUCUUGAGUGUUAUUGAAGUAGCUGGAAUAAGUAGUGUAGCGGUGAAAUGCAUAGAUAUUACUUAGAACACCAAUUGCGAGGGCAGGUUACUAAGCAACAACUGACGCUGAUGGACGAAAGCGUGGGGAGCGAACAGG
rnacentral:rRNA from 1 species